CCAGAGCCGUAAGGAUGUGGUUCUGAGGGAUGUGUGCAGUGGGCAUGGUGGGAUAGGCUGGGAUUGGACCUGGGGAUGUGAGAGCUCUAACGAUUCUAUGAAAUCAAGGCCUGUGUUGUAGGGAACAGACUGCCCUCUGCCAGGCCGAGGAGCUUGCUGAAGGAACAGAGUUGCUGUCACACCCUGCUCUGACUCCCUGCAAAACAGGACCAGGGGGAUGCUGUGGGGCUGCUGACUGCUGUGACCCAUCCAUAAGGAAACACCAGGCCCAGUCCUGCAGUGAAGCUGUCCUACUCCAGCUGUGUGAAGAGCAUGGGACAACGAGGUGGAAGCUGGGAAAGCGUGCCUAGAUCUGAGGCUCAGGAAGCCCUGGCUUGCCCCGUGGAGCAUCACAAAGCCCACAGCAAAUGCACCAAGUGUUCCUGCCAUCUCACCAUUAGGAAGUCUUCCUCGGAUAUUCAGCCUAAUUUUUCAUUCUUUGAAUUGAUGUCAAUUACCCCCCAGCUAAACCUAGUUAUGCAGUGGAAGACAGGUUUAAAAUAGUGCAUGAUCUCACGAAAUUGAAGAAAUGGACUGAAAUCGAUACAAUGAGAGGCAAUAAGAAUGCCCAUAAAGGUUAAGUGGUUGGUGGAGGAAGGAUUAAUGAAAUGCACACGUACUAGGUCAAGUUGCAAAUACCCUUACUUCGUUCUUACCCACUCCGUACUCCACAAAUACAUUCUCGUCCUUCAAAUUGAAUGAGGAGGUGCCUCAGAAUCUGACUCAUGACUUGGAGAGUUACAAGACUAGUAUCAAGGAAUGGUUGGGUUUAAUGCAUGGGAAAUGCAAGAAAAAGGUUUUACUGCUUCUUACUUAGUUCUGCAGAGAGCUCCAAGGCCCCAUCUACAGUACUGCGUCCAGGCCUGGGGCCCCCAGUGCAGGAAGGACGUGGAGCUCUUGGAGCGGGUCCAGAGGAGGGCCACUAAGAUGGUCAGAGGGCUGGAGCACCUCUCCUGUGAGGAAAGGCUGAGGGAACUGGGCUUGUUUAGCUUGGAGAAGAGAAGGCUGCGGGGAGACCUCAUUGCAGCCUUCCGGUACUUGAAGGGAGCGUAUAAACAGGAGGGGGAGAGGCUGUUUACAAGGGUGGAUAGUGACAGGACAAGGGGGAAUGGUUUUAAACCGAGACAGGAGAGGUUUAGGUUGGAUAUUAGGAAGACGUCUUUCACCCAGAGGGUGGUGACGCACUGGAAUAGGUUGCCCAAGGAGGCUGUGGAUGCCCCAUCCCUGGAGGCAUUCAAGGCCAGGCUGGAUGUGGGUCUGGGCAGCCUGGGCUGCUGGUUGGCGACCCUGCACAUAGCAGGGGGUUGGAACUGAGUGAGCAUUGUGGUCCUUUUCAACCCAGGCCAUUCUAUGAUAUGAUACGAUAUGGCUUCUCCAAGUGAGGAAGAACAGUGUGAGCUCCUCUCCCUUCCCUGUAGUGACUUUAAACUCUCAGCCUACGAAGGUUUUUCAGAGUCAAUGUUUUCCAUUUUCUAGUGGUUCAGGGACACGUGGCAGAUAAAGAGAAAACAACUAGAAGCAGAAUAAUGAACUUUUGCUGCUGAUCAUUGGAGAGAAAAUCAGUACAGGUUCCUUUGUGGGUCUUCUCAUUCUUGGGGACAGGUUUGUGUAGAGAUGCAUUAUUUUCUGUCCUUUUGCCUUGUCUGAUUUCUGCCUGUAUGGCAUUGGAUAAGCCGUACCUUGGUGGACACGUGAGAAUCUAAAUGAAACAGAACUAAAUGUGGAGAAGAAACCUA